CGCGGCAGAAUGCCUUUGAAGUCUGGGAGUGAGCACACACGUUACUGUUUACCUUCAAUUUUAAACACACGGGCUUUAAAAGAGGUUCCACUUAUCCUUUUCUCCUCUCAGGUAAAAAGCCCCAGAUAUCCCGCAUUGUUUUACAUCAACCACCUGUGUGGGCUCGAGAAAUUCUAGUGGUUUCCAUUUAGUGUGUCCAAUGAAGACUGGCCUGAGGGAGGACGGUGAUGCCUUCCGUUUACAG